rnacentral:rRNA from 1 species
UUCCAGACUCCUACGGGAGGCAGCAGUGAGGAAUAUUGGUCAAUGGGCGGAAGCCUGAACCAGCCAAGUCGCGUGAGGGAAGAAGGCCCUGCGGGUCGCAGACCUCUUUGGACGGGGAGCAAGGCCGCCGACGUGUCGGCGGAAGGAGAGUACCCGUAGAACAAGCAUCGGCUAACUCCGUGCCAGCAGCCGCGGUAAUACGGAGGAUCCGAGCGUUAUCCGGAUUUAUUGGGUUUAAAGGGUGCGUAGGGGGUUGGAUAAGUUAGAGGUGAAAUGUCGGGGCUCAACCCCGAAACUGCCUCUAAUACUGUUGGACUAGAGAAUAGUUGCGGUAGGCGGAAUGUAUGGUGUAGCGGUGAAAUGCUUAGAGAUCAUACAGAACACCGAUUGCGAAGGCAGCUUACCAAACUAUAUCUGACGUUGAGGCACGAAAGCGUGGGUAGCAAACAGGAUUAGAUACCCUUGUAGUC